UGGGGUGUAUGGGGAAACAGCCAAGGCAUGGCAUGCAUGUGGCCCCAGAGUCGCUUCUAGAAUGUUCUGGUUUUGUGUAAUGAUGUUCACAACGAGGUUUGAUCCUUUUCCUGGGCACAGGUCGAUUCUGAAUGGGGGUGACCCCACCGGAAGGGGGCGAUCGCUGAUGGAGGACAUCCCAUCCGCUGGACAACACAGAGUUUUAUGGAAUGCUCAUUGUAAGAACACAGAGAUGAAGAAAGAGGAACUCAGCUGUGGAUAUAGAGCUGGUAAUAGCAGCACCGAUGUUGGAAGUCACAGUUGUCCUGAGAACGUGGUGCUUCUGGUCUUCAACCGCAUUCCAACUGCCUCCCCUAAUACUGGGAGUUUAUGAGCAUGCAGGGAGGUGUUUCAGUCUGGCUUCCUGGAGGACUUACGGGGAAGGAAGAGUGUUCUCUUCCCUGCGUCCUUAGCAGCAGGUCUGAUACACUGUGACUCCUGUAGGGCCUGGGAGCUGAGUUAGGUGACAGAACUCUGCAUGUUAGCACACCCUAGUCACCUUCCACCCUACAGAUGUCUGCCAAACUCUGUUUGCACAACACUUACGAAUACACAUUGACAAUAUACAAAAUGAUAAGAGAGAAACCUCUGGUGUGUUACUGAUUUGUUUUAUAGGAGAGGGGCUGAUCAUACAAAGAGAUUGAAUGUUGCUUCAAAUUGGCAAAUAGCAGUGGAUCAUCUUACGGUCUUGAAUCUCUGAACUCCAGAAGAUGGUUUUGUUUACUGAGCAGCGAAUGAGAUGAAUAUCAGGAUUUCAGCACAGGACCACCUAGUGGAAGGAACAGUGUGAGACUAAGAGCGUAUUGAGCUGUUGUGGAAUUGAAUGAAAAAUAUGUAUGGAAUGAUGGGAUUAGUUAGCCGUCCUACAGUUUAAGAAAAAGACAUAUGCAAUAUAUUUUCUUCCCAUCUGAGAUUUUAGC